GUCGGCGAUCGCAGCCAAAGCAGCUGUAGCUUCUGCGCAGGCUGCUAAGGCAGCAAGUUCCAGCCUUCCUCACCCUCCAGCUAGCAGCCAAUAUAUCGUACCCAAGAAGACAAUAGAGUAUGGACCAUGGGGCUAAUAGCAGAGGGCGCUUCGAUCAGAUGAUGCUUCGAGGUGUGGCACACAAACCCAGUGCGACUGGCGCGCAAAAACCUUCCAGACAACUACUUUCUCAUUAAGUGGUAACAAAUGUUUGUGUAUAGAAUCUGUAACUUUACAAGCACUAUGUAGCAAUUUAAAUUCAGCAAUAAAUGUGUUCAUUGCAUUCACUGAAA